rnacentral:rRNA from 1 species
GAUUAACGCUAGCGGCAGGCAUAAUACAUGCAAGUUGAACGAGAUUAGUUUUAGCAAUAGAACUAGUUUAGUGGCGCACGGGUGCGUAACGCGUAUGCAACCUACCUUAAACAGGGGAAUAGCCUCUCGAAAGAGAGAUUAAUACCGCAUAAUAUAUAUUUAAUGCAUAUUAGAUAUAUUAAACCUACGGGGGUUUAAGAUGGGCAUGCGUGACAUUAGCUAGUUGGUGAGGUAACGGCUCACCAAGGCAACGAUGUCUAGGGGGUCUGAGAGGAUGUCCCCCCACACUGGUACUGAGACACGGACCAGACUCCUACGGGAGGCAGCAGUAGGGAAUAUUGGUCAAUGGGGGCAACCCUGAACCAGCCAUGCCGCGUGCAGGAAUAAGGCCCUAUGGGUCGUAAACUGCUUUUGAACGGGAGAAAUCUAUUUACGUGUAAAUAGUUGACGGUACCGUUAGAAUAAGGAUCGGCUAACUUCGUGCCAGCAGCCGCGGUAA